rnacentral:rRNA from 1 species
UACGUAGGGUGCGAGCGUUGUCCGGAAUUAUUGGGCGUAAAGGGCUCGUAGGCGGUCUGUUGCGUCGGGAGUGAAAACUCAGGGCUUAACCCUGAGCCUGCUUCCGAUACGGGCAGACUAGAGGUAUGCAGGGGAGAACGGAAUUCCUGGUGUAGCGGUGAAAUGCGCAGAUAUCAGGAGGAACACCGGUGGCGAAGGCGGUUCUCUGGUCUGUAACUGACGCUGAGGCGCGAAAGCGUGGGGAGCAAACAGG